CCCACCAAACUUAGUGUACACAAAUUAACCAGCACCCUUGGAUCUAACCCACUUAAUUGUAUCUAAGAGUCUGUAUUACUUCGGUGGUCUGCCAUGAAAACGAAUGGACGAGAUUAAAUGUUUUGCCGGUCUGCCACCAACGUACGGUCUCCACGCAUGCCCACUAAUUCGCUCAAGACCUCAUAACCCCGAACCAACAUCACGUCUCAGUUGCGAAAAAAUAUCACGUCUCCAACUCCAACCAUAGCUCUCCCCUGUCCCCCAGCUGCCACAGAACUCCUCCCUGUUCCCAUCGCCGCCGCCCGCCGCUUCUCCUCUCCUCUGCUACCCCAGGCGCGAGGAACCAACCUCCCGAAGCAAUCGGAGCGGCAAAGCGGCGGAGGAAUGCAGAGAUGGCGUCUGCGAUGACGGGGAAAAAGAUGGGGCGGGCGUCCUACAUCCGGAUCAAGCACGAGGAGGAGCGGCACGAGGCGUCCUGGAAGGAGCCCGAGGGCUGGGUCUUCUCCGCCACCACGCGCACCGAUGUCGCCGCGCGCCUUGGCGAGCUCCGCGACCAGAUCCUCGCCGGUUGCGCCUCUUUCCCGACCUCGCCGCACAGCACUCCGGCUGCUCCUCCGCCCGCCGCGGCGGCGACCUAGGUACGCCUCCACUUGCCCCACUUACGCGCUCUGCAGGCUUUCAUAUAGGGUCUCCGAUCGUGGCGAACCAGAAGCACCAGCCCAGGAAGAGCUCGACAGCGUGGAGAUCCUCCCCAGCCAGUAGUACGUGACCAGCCCGAGAUCCACCGCCGAGCCAAGCACUUCUCCUUUCUUUUUCUUCUUCUGUUACCCAGCCAAAACAAUUUUGUGGAGAACAAUCAUAUCUGGUUAGGAUCCACACAGGAAUCUACAGCACAAAUAAUGGAGGAGCUACUACAAUAGAGGAUGGACCUGUGGUUGCUUCCCAGCUCUUUUCUUCAAAACAAUCUGAGAAAGAGUACAAAGGAAAUUGGAGCAUAUGGAAAAUUGCUCAGGAAUAUCUCCAUCUUAUGCUUAUUUGCUUCGAUGUACAGUGACCUAUAAAAGGGUGAAAACAAUCAGUGAGAUACUUCUCUGGAUGUAGAGCUCUCUGACAUACGCCUAAAAGAUAAAAUUAUAUUUUUUACAUUAUUAUUCUCAAUACUAUAGUUGAACAUUCAUUACCUUGUGGUUCGUACUUGGUCCCAGCCUCCCAAGCAUAAAUCUGAAGUUGUUCUGUAUAGGGGAGUGAAUUGUAUGAGAGUGUGUUUCCAGGCUUAAAUCUGAAAUUGUUGUGUAUACUAUAUGUGCAUGCAGUGUGUAUGGUAGAACCAAUCGAUUUGCAGAAGAUAGCAUGAACCGGAAGGGUAAUAGGUGCCGCCACCGGAAGGCUCGGCAGUGCUAAUCGCCGGAACUACACUACCGGCAGUGCCAUCCAAAUCCUCGGAGACGCUCAAGGUAUAUACAAUGAACACACAAAGGGGUCCACAUGCAAUUAUCUAAUUAUUGGAUGCAUCAGAUUAACGUGCUGAAUGAAUCACAUGUGUAUACUUGAGACAAAUGAAUGUAUUAAUGGUUAGUAAUUUUUUUAUCUAUCCUUUUUACAUGUCCUCGAGGGUGACCAUAGUAGCAUCUUGAGCCCAAAUACAGUCCUGCCAUCUAACGCCGCCUGUAAUUUUUUAGCUACAGGAAUUUGGACCGUCCUGCAAGAAGAAUCAGUUGAGAAGAUUGGACUAUGCUACUUCUAUAAGGCUGAGUAUACACUCUUUGUUGUUAAUUGUAGUGAUAGUUACUAUUAUUGAAUUGCUAAGGUGACAAACUGACAGUUAUUGCUUGACGAACUUACUCUUGUUCAUUACAUUGCAUCCCUCUUACACGGGAAUCAUCAAAUGUUCACACAUAUGUAUGUCCUUUAGUUGUCAUUUUCUCUUUUUUAUUUUUUCUUCCCUUUUUUGUGUGGAUAAUCCAAUUUCUUAUGUUGUCAAUGGAUCUUAAACAUCUUCACUUCUGAUUUCUAUUUCAAACAGACAGUGCAGCUUUGACGGCCUCUUAUUUCAUGCAGACAAGUGUAUUUUGUUCCAUUAGAAAUAUAUAACUAUAUUUUAUUCCUGAGAGAGCAAUCUUAUACGGGAAUAUAGUGUUGUAUUUUGUGCACCCUCAUUUGGCAAGAGUUCAGGUUACUAUUUGUCUCUGUGUGGAAGUUCUCACAUUAGUUCAUGCAGAAUAUGUCUAUAUUUUUACCAAGGGGUUCCAAUGAUUCGAGGACUGCAUAUGUGCAGAUCUAGAAACUCUUUCUUCCCAAGAUGGGCAAUGUGCAGAUCUAGAAAUGGUAUGUCCCCUAUGCGUGUAUGACUGUUGGUGGAGAUGUUCAUACUUUAGGAUCUUUGGUUCCUGAGUUAGUGAGGUGCAUGCUCUCGACCCUGACAUCUACUUACUCUAUUGUCAUCUAUAGUCUGUAUUGUGCUCUGCGCUUAAUGUGCAUUGGGUGCAUAGCAGAACAUGAAUUUCAGAUGCCCUUAUUUGUUUGAUGAAAUGCCUCCUUGAUCUGCAUGCCAGGUAUUAUAGCAUACUGUAUAUGGCUUCUAAGCUCUUUGAAAGUUUAGGACACAAUAGGAAGUCAUAUUACAGCGGUUUCCGAUUAAUAACAAAGCUGAAAGCACAAUCUCUAUUUUUCGAGAACAACAAAAUUGUUUUCUAGAACUGAUAGUUUCUUCGGUAUUUUUUUGUUUGCUUUCUGUUACUUUAUAACUGAAUAUGAAUAUGCAGUUAGCUUAUUUUUCUUUUAUGUGAUAUGUGAGUAAAUAGCAGUUAGCUGCAUGGGUUACCGUGGUUUCAAGCUCAACUUUUGUGUUAUCUAGCUGCAGUGCUAGGACUGGUUGUUUCCCAAAGAGAUGAUAUGACCAUGAGUUUAUGGCCUUUUUGAGCUUGAUGUCUUCUGUAUAAGAGAAAUGAAGUCUUCGGCAUGUACACUGUGUAAACAAUCAUUGGAAAGGCGAGACGAAGAUAAGAGGAGCAUAUAGAAGUUUGUGAUUUGUAUAGGAGGCCUUGUUGGUGAGACUCGGAAUGGGUGCAUAAUGGUCCUGGCUACCGGAGAACUCUUCAAGCUCGUGGUGCGUGCUGUAACUCCCACUGUGGCGCUGUAGUCGAGCCCAUCAAUUCAAAUUCUGAAGAUAACAUGUAGCCUGAAUCCAAGAGGGAACAAAUCCAGUUGUUCCAAGACGCGUUCUUUUUUGUAUAUAUUGUUGACAGUUUGCAUCUCUGCCAUGUUCACUUGGACAAUGCAUAUAUGUAUUACAAGUCCUUCCAAGUUCAUAUAAUAAAUUAGACAUACUUCUGAAA